rnacentral:lncRNA from 1 species
AUGGGCAACCUGGACAGAGUAGUAGAGGUCGACGGAUCCGUUGGCUCCUGGAGGAUGAGAUUGUGUCAGCUCUGCGUCACUCCCGGGUUAUCAGCUUGUCCAAGCUACAGAAGGUGGCGGGUCACAUGCUUCGCUCAGGCGGGCGACCACGCUGCCACAGUGAGGUCGUUCCUCUGCAGUUUGUCUUCGGCCCUGAGCAGUCCCUGGAAAAGUUCAAAGAGGAGUUCCGUAGGAUGUCAGCAGGACAACUUCCACUACAUUUCUCGGAGUAGACUCCACCCACAGAGGAUCCAGGCUUCUAAGAGGCUGUCUGAGAGUGCUGUUAACACUGAGGGGGCGGGACAGGCCACCCAACCCAAAAAUCACUGUGCUGAUGUGGACGACAGUGCCAGGGCUCCGUCCAAUCAUGGUGCACCAGGAAGAAGACCUGACCACGAAACAGAGGUGGAGAGGGUGAAGCUAGACAGUGAGGUGCAGGGAGAAGAGAAGAAGCCUGCUGUUGGGGAUGUUAGUGAUUCUGGUAGUGACCUAGCCCAGGACCCCUGCAACCCUCCAGCCAAAUCUACCCGGGAUGACUCAAAGGAGGGCCCCAGAUCUCUGUUGAGCUCAGCCGGUGCAACCUCCACAGCCAUGGGGGAUGGACCUCGGGAGAGUUCUGUUGGUGUCUCCACCGGCCAACCCCGACUGAGCUCUGUGGGCAGAAGAGGAGAGGUGAUAGGACCUCAGCUGAGCUCUGUAGGCUCCUCCUUCACGGCCAUGGGGGAUCAAGGCCAUCCCAGCACCCCCCACCUCAAGCCCAGCACCGACCGCUCCUCAGAAAACACCAAGACCCCAUCCGCAGUCAGCCUGGCCGAGUCGGUGCAGUCCACCACCCACAGUGAGUGUCCCUGUCCCCCAGAGCCCAGACCCAGACAACAUCUAGGACCUUAAGUGAUGAGAAGUUACAGCU